GAGGGUGCGGGAGGGCGAAGCAGGCGGCUAGGGAGCCCCCUUCCAGAGUGGGUGGGCAGCGCGGUCCUGCAGAGCUGGAGCGGGGCCAGGGCGCCGCUGGGAGCUGGUGCCCACGUCUCCGGUGGCGGUGGCGGGCUGGCGGGCGGGCGACACGGGGAAAGGGACCCCCGCCCCGCCGGUGUCAGACUCGGACCCCAGACCCCGUCCCAGGUGAGGGCAGGGUGCUGCCUCUUUAAAAGCGGCCGGGCAGAGCCUCCCGCACCAUGUGAUGCUGGCGAGGCUGGGCCAGCGCUGCAGCGGAGCGAGGACAUGAGCUGCCGGCCGGCGUGGUGCCCGGAGCCCAGCCCAGCCCAGCCCCGCGCCCGCGCCCGUGUCCCCAGCUCUGGGCGGCAGCAGGUGCCCCCAACUUUGGGCACCACCUCUGGGCCCCCUGGCGGCCAGCAGACAGGCUGGUGAGCUCCUGGCACCCUGAUCUGGGGCAUUGGUGGGCAGAGGCAGGCUUGGGGACCUUGUGGGGCGUGUGCAGUGGAGCAGGAGGAGUGAGCGCUGCUCUCCCAAGUUGCUGAAUGAAACCUCGGGGGUGGUAAGGGGAGGGACAGAGACCAGGCAGAGAGAGGGCCAGGGGGUCUCACUAGCCCCAGCGGGCACCAUUGUGCCAAGUGGGCACAGCUCCAAGGGGAGGGAGCCCCGUCCCCUGUGUCCCCUGCCACCCACAGCCUCCCCACCCCAGCUUCCUGACCACAGGUGCCCCUCGCCGAUGUGCCCGGUCUCUGCCCGCCAUGCCGCCCGUUUCGGCCUUCCAGGCGGCCUACAUCAGCAUCGAGGUGCUCAUCGCCCUGGUGUCUGUGCCGGGGAACGUGCUGGUGAUCUGGGCCGUGCGGGUGAACCAGGCGCUGCGGGACGCCACCUUCUGCUUCAUUGCCUCGCUGGCCGUGGCUGACGUGGCCGUGGGCGCCCUGGUCAUCCCGCUCGCCAUCCUCAUCAACAUCGGGCCACAGACCUACUUCCACACCUGCCUCAUGGUCGCCUGCCCUGUGCUCAUCCUCACCCAGAGCUCCAUCCUGGCCCUGCUAGCCAUCGCCGUGGACCGCUACCUGCGCGUCAAGAUCCCGCUCCGGUACAAGACGGUGGUGACGCCCCGCAGGGCCGCGGUGGCCAUCGCCGGCUGCUGGAUCCUCUCCCUCGUGGUGGGCCUGACGCCCAUGUUUGGCUGGAACAACCUGGGUGCGGUGCAGCGGGCCUGGGCGGCCAACGGCAGCGCCGGGGAGCCCGUGAUCAAGUGCGAGUUCGAGAAGGUCAUCAGCAUGGAGUACAUGGUCUACUUCAACUUCUUCGUCUGGGUGCUGCCGCCGCUGCUGCUCAUGGCGCUCGUCUACCUGGAGGUGUUCUACCUGAUCCGCCGGCAGCUCAGCAAGAAGGUGUCGGCCUCCUCGGGCGACCCGCACAAGUACUACGGGAAGGAGCUGAAGAUCGCCAAGUCGCUGGCGCUCAUCCUCCUCCUCUUCGCGCUCAGCUGGCUGCCCCUGCACAUCCUGAACUGCAUCACCCUCUUCUGCCCGAGCUGCCACAAGCCCAGCCUCCUCACCUACAUCGCCAUCUUCCUCACGCACGGCAACUCCGCCAUGAACCCCAUCGUCUACGCCUUCCGCAUCCAGAAGUUCCGGGUCACCUUCCUCAAGAUUUGGAACGACCAUUUCCGCUGCCAGCCCGCACCCCCCGUGGACGAGGGCCCCCCGGAAGAGAGGCCGGACGACUAGACUCUCCCUGCCCACAGCCAGAGCACCUCAGCGCGGCCCUCACUCCCCACCAUCUAACUGUCUCCAUGGGCCUCCCGGCCGGGCCGGGGGUGUGGGGGCCGUCCAGGGGCGGAAGCCAGGCAGCCUGAGGGAGGAGGGAAGUUGGCUUGAGCCACCCCACCUGCUGCCUGUCCCCGGGCAGCCCCGCGUCUGGCAAAGGGCCCCCGUGGCGGCGAGGCCAUCUCCGCUCCUGCAGGUGGGGGCGCUCUCGUCUCAGCGGCUUGACCCUGCAGCCUGGGACCAGGCCUCAGGCGGGAGGACAUCCCCUCCAAGGCGCGUGAAGAAGAUGCCGUCUCUGAAGGAGAAGGUGGCCGAGCCAGUGAGGGGCAGCCACGAAGGAGCCUCAGGCCCCACCUCCCCAGCCCCAGGCUCCCGGCCGCGCUGGGGGCCACGGUGCUGCCCCCCUGCUCUGAGCAGCCCGAGACUGUACUUGAGAGGGAGGUCGGAAGAGCCAGUGCAGACGUCAUUUCCAACGUUGCUUUAUUCUGCACCAGCCUUCGGGGCCUGGUGCCCAGCAGCCAGUAGGGAGUGGUGGUGUGGGCCUCACCCAGCCAUCAGGUGGCAGCACUGAGCAUCCCCAGGAGGAAGCUGGAGUGUGACUAGCUGUCAUCCAGGACCAGCCCAGCAGGUCCACCUGCCCCCAGACAGGCCUGGACUCUCCUAAGUGGCAGCCUUCCCUGCUGGGCCUGGGCCUGAUGGAGACCCGUCAGCUCUCGAGAGCAUCGCGCCUCCUGCCGAGGGCUGGGCCAGGGGAGUGGCUGCCUGGGCCUCCUGGGAUGGGGGGUGACAGGCCGGAGCCAGACAGAGGGUCCAGCCCCUGAGAGAGGAGGCGGAAGGUCCUGCUGGCCUUUCACUACCCCCAGGGCCCUGGCAUGCAGCCCGGUUUUCAGGGCUGUGGGGUCCCUGCAGAGCCGAGGGUUUCAGGGUUUCUGGGGAAGAGCCCCCCUGCCGGGCUCAGAGCCCUGGUGCAGAGGGUGGAGGGGCGGAUUCUGUGUGAGUAUUGACUCCAGGCCUUGAUUCCAAGCCCUGGCCUCUCUCAGAGGUGCUGUGCCCUGCUCCCAGGGGGCACAUGACUAAUAAAAGACUGUGAAUCCACUUGCAGAGCCACUGCUAGGCACCCACCGCCACACCCGAGGGCGACAGACAGCCUCGCAGAGAAGACUCACUGGGGAUGUCAAGGAGUGGGAGCCGGGCAAUGUGGAGCCCCCCGGCUCCCCCCGGUUCCCGCGAGGGGGGCGUGUGUUCUUACAGCUAUUGGCUUGGGCUGGCAAGCCCUGAACGUGAGAGCAAGAUCCUGAAACAUCUCAGGUCAAGAAACCCCCUGACUCCCGAGUCCCCUCCCGUGGACCUUGCGCGUGGGGUCCCAUGGGGAGACCCUUAAUGGCGAUGCAUUCACCACUUUGCAGUGACACGGCGCCUCCCCCCAGACGAUCAUCACUGUCAGAGUCCCCGAGGGUACACAUGCACCUUUAUUGGACUGUUUCUUGCCCAGCAUGCAGCUCUUUGCAGGGCACAGCAAUCUUGGCACAGUCCAGGGCCCUUGUGCCCAGUAAGCCUGUCCCGGGGGCUGCCAGGCCCACUCCUGGGCACUGGGCUGCAGCCUUGGGUGGAGGGAGGUGAGGCUGGUGCCAGGGAGCAGAGCUGUCCAUCCGUCAUCACAACAGAGAGGGGUCUGGAGACUCAUGGCGCCGGAUAUGGGCCUGGCGGCCCUGACCCCUCAGGCCCACAGCACCUGGCAGAGAACACGUUCCAUGAGCCUGGUCUUGGCAAACCGGGCUGAGGGGUGAGGAGGGCAGGGAAAGCGGGCCCUGUCUCCUUCCUCGCGUCUGUGCUCAGCCCCUUCCCCCCUGUCCAGCACCUAAGAACCACCUCACAGAGAAGGUGGGCACGCGCUGUGGGCCCCACUUUUCUGAUGAGAAACAGGUCCAAGAGGGCACCCCAGCCCCAGGUCACUCAGAGCCAGGACUGGACCGUCCACCAAAUCACUGUCCCCAGGCCCCACCAGCAUUGCCCUGCCUGCCAGCUGCCCUGUCUCUGGACCGUGUGUGACUGCUGACCUGUGCCCAUGCUGACUGCCCCUCCCCUUCUCACCUGCCCCGCCCCUGCCCAGAUGCGACACCGGGAGCAGGUCCAGCAUUUACCUGUGUCUCCAUCACAGCCUCCUCCGUGCUCCUCAGUGUGUGGCUAAGGCUGGAAGAGAUCCCACAGGUCCCUCAGGAGAGACCCUCCUCCAACCCUCACCUUUGACCUCCAGCCGGCAGUCCACAGACGCCUCCCCCAGCAUGUUGACGGCCUUGCAGGUGUAGACCCCGGAAUCAAAGGGGCUGGGUUUCCGGAUCUCCAGGGUGUAGACGCCUUGCUCAGAGAAGGUGCGGUAUUUGGGGUCCCCCUGGAUGUUCAUGUUGUUCUUCAUCCAGAUGAUCUUGGGCUGGGGAGCAUGGCCACAGGGAGGCUGGGCAGGCUGUGGGCUGGGACGGGCUCUCCCAGGCCAGACUCCUCAGCCCCACCGCCCCUGAGGCGCAGCCGGGCCUGCACUCACCUUGGGUGACGCUCGCACGCUGCAGGAGAGCUGGGUGCUGUAGCCGGAGGUGGUGGUGUGGUCAGCCAGGGGCUGGGUGAAGGAAGGGGCUUCUGAGAAGUCUCUCUCAACAAACCCUUUAAGUUUGGCAACAAUAUCUGGGUUCAUGGGAGAAAAUGGGGUGAAUUUGAGAUUAUAGGAGGAGAUCUCUUAGGAUGGACCUCAGCCCUUUUCCCCAAACGAUCGCUACAGCUUCCAUCUAGGCAUCUUCUGACGACUGUGGCUCUGACGGCCUGGAGGAAGGUCUUAGCGUCCAGGGGACGAUGACAAUCCAUGCCCUCCUGCCCCUCCUCUGAGCGCCCUGGCGGGCCCCAGGCUCCUGGCCCGUGUGUGGGGACGUAGGACAGAGUGUCCUGGGGCAGAGCAAGGGGAGCUGAGAGGGUGGGCAGGAGAGCCAGAGAGAGGAGAGGAUCGUGGCUGAUGGUGGAGACCAGCAGUCUGGAGAUACUACAUGUUAUUUCUGUUUGUCUUUGGAGAAAUAACUGGCUUUCCUUUUUAAACAAAAAUUUCUCCCUAAUUCUGUGCAACUCAGGCUGCUGUUAACAAGUGUGUGCCUCUGCGUGGGGGAGGGCCUUGGAGCACGCAGGGUGACGGAGAAAGGGCCUGGAUUUAACCUUCGACGUGAGGGGUCUUGCCCCAUGUGGAGAGUAAAUGCUGAGUCUCUCCCGUCCAUCCACGUGGAGUUAUAUUAGGGUUGGAGGUCUGUGCUAUCAGCAAACUUGCCAGAGUCCACUGGCCCCACUGCCCUCAUGCUGGUUCUUUGGGGACAGUGCACCUGAGGCCUAAUGACCACUCUGAUGUCGGCAGCCACAGGGCAUCUGUGGAAUAAAUACACAGUCUCCCUCUCCCAAG